rnacentral:rRNA from 1 species
GACGAACGCUGGCAGCGUGGAUUAGGCAUGCAAGUCGAACGGUAUCAUCCUUUCGGGGGUGAGAGAGUGGCGAACUGGUGAGUAACACGUAGGUUAUCUACCCUCAAGACGGGGACAACCCAGGGAAACUUGGGCUAAUACCGGAUGUGAGCAACUUUUAGUUGUUUGAAAGGUGGCGUAAGCUGUCGCUUGGGGAUGAGCCUGCGUCCUAUUAGUUAGUUGGUGAGGUAACGGCUCACCUAGGCAAUGAUAGGUAGGCGGCCUUAACGGGUGGUCGCCCACACUGGGAUUGAGAUACGGCCCAGACUCCUACGGGAGGCAGCAGUCGAGAAUAGUCUACAAUGGUCGGAAGACUGAUAGUGCGACGCCGCGUGAACGAUGAAUCCCUUCGGGGUGUAAAGUUCUUUUAUAUGUGAGCAGUGCUUCUUAUAUUAACAGUAUGGGGAGAGAGAUAUUAGCAUAUGAAUAAGCAACGGCUAACUCCGUGCCAGCAGCCGAC